GAUACUAAUGAAGUGGACCCAUGGUCUAGGAGGAGCUGCAGGGAGAAAGCCUGUUGCUUCUCCUCUUUCACUGAGUUAAGGAAAGGGGAAAAGAAUGACCUUCAUUCUAGAGGGCUGUGGGAGAAACAGUAUCUGAGCAAAGCUGGAUGAGGAGCUACAGAAGGAUAUUAUGGGGAAGAUAGAGAUAAAAAUUCAUAUUAUAUAUGUGCUUUAUAUGAAAAAUAAGAAAAGUUCAGAUUUUGUUAUUUUACAGAAACAUGAAAAUUGUUACUGUCUGCAUACUAUAUAUAAAGAUAAGAAAGUUCAAGUUUCGUACUAUUAUUUUACAGAAAGGAGAUACUCCCUUGCAUAUUGCUAUUCGUGGAAGGAGCCGGAAACUGGCAGAACUGCUUUUAAGAAAUCCCAAAGAUGGGCGAUUACUUUAUAGGCCCAACAAAGCAGGCGAGACUCCUUAUAAUAUUGACUGUAGCCAUCAGAAGAGUAUUUUAACUCAAAUAUUUGGAGCCAGACACUUGUCUCCUACUGAAACAGAUGGCGACAUGCUUGGAUAUGAUUUAUAUAGCAGUGCCCUGGCAGAUAUUCUCAGUGAGCCUACCAUGCAGCCACCCAUUUGUGUGGGGUUAUAUGCACAGUGGGGAAGUGGGAAAUCUUUCUUACUCAAGAAACUAGAAGACGAAAUGAAAACCUUCGCCGGACAACAGAUUGAGCCUCUCUUUCAGUUCUCAUGGCUCAUAGUGUUUCUUACCCU
rnacentral:sRNA from 1 species